ensembl:lncRNA
AAAAUAUUUUGCAUGAAGUGACCAGUUAACAUCUGUGUAAACAGAAUUUACUAUGUCUGAUCUGGGUUUUUCCUUGAGGACUUGGCUGUCCAACACAACACAAAACAAGAAGUUAAAACUGUCCACAUUGGAAAUCUCUACACUGUCAGACUAGAAGGGAGCUUUUCAACAUCACAAAAUUCCCCAAGUGAAGGAGUAGAAGCCAUUGUACGUCUUUCAAACAGAGCAAGAGAACAAUGGCUAACACUGAUUGGGCACCUGCACGUGCAUAGAAGUCUCACAGCUGUUCUCCACCAAAAAUUGCUAUCACCAUCCUGGCUUUACCGACAAGGAAACUAAGCUCUCUCUUGGGAUGGAUCACAGCUCCCUUCACCUUCAUCACACUCAGGCUCAGCCAAGUGUAAAGUCCAACAAACGUGCAUCCUAGGCCUCGGGCUCCCUGCUGCAGCCCUCCCAUGGGCUGUGUCUAACCAUCUGGAGCCUCGUUUCUUCAUCUGUAAAACGGGGUGAUAUUGACAG